rnacentral:rRNA from 1 species
GAUGAACGCUGGCGGCGUGCCUAAUACAUGCAAGUCGAGCGAAUGGAUUAAGAGCUUGCUCUUAUGAGGUUAGCGGCGGACGGGUGAGUAACACGUGGGUAACCUGCCCAUAAGACUGGGAUAACUCCGGGAAACCGGGGCUAAUACCGGAUAACAUUUUGAACCGCAUGGUUCGAAAUUGAAAGGCGGCUUCGGCUGUCACUUAUGGAUGGACCCGCGUCGCAUUAGCUAGUUGGUGAGGUAACGGCUCACCAAGGCAACGAUGCGUAGCCGACCGGGGAGGGUGAUCGGCCACACUGGGACUGAGAAACGGCCCAGACUCCUACGGGAGGCAGCAGUAGGGAGUCUUCCGCAAUGGACGAAAGUCUGACGGAGCAACGCCGCGUGAGUGAUGAAGGCUUUCGGGUCGUAAAACUCUGUUGUUAGGGAAGAACAAGUGCUAGUUGAAUAAGCUGGCACCUUGACGGUACCUAACCAGAAAGCCACGGCUAACUACGUGCCAGCAGCCGCAGUAA